rnacentral:misc_RNA from 1 species
GAUGAAGAACGUAUCGAAAUGCGAUAAGUAAUGUGAAUUGCAGAAUUCAGUGAAUCAUCGAAUCUUUGAACGCACAUUGCGCCCUCUGGUAUUCCGGGGGGCAUGCCUGUUCGAGCGUCAUUAUAACCACUCAAGCUCUCGCUUGGUAUUGGGGUUCGCGGUUUCGCGGCCCCUAAAAUCAGUGGCGGUGCCUGUCGGCUCUACGCGUAGUAAUACUUCUCGCGAUUGAGUUCGAUAGGUCUACUUGCCAGUAACCCCCAAUUUUUACAGGUUGACCUCGGAUCAGGUAGGGAUACCCGCUGAACUUAAGCAUAUCAAUAAGCGGAGGA